rnacentral:miRNA from 1 species
CAGGCUAGGAGAAAUGAUUGGA